AGACUUGUUUUAUUGCCCUGAAUAUAAUCUAUCAUGGUAAAUGUUCUAUAUGCAAAAUAAUUACACUGAAGGAAAGGUGCCAGUUACUUAUAUAAAAUCUUAGAAAAUGCAAAUGAAUUUAUAGUGACAGAGGUGGAUUGGUGGUUGCCUGUGGGGGGCGGGGCCGACGGGAGCAGAAGGGAGGGGUGCAGAGGGGCACGUGGAAACUUUGGGCGACGAGUCUGUUCACUGUCUCGAGGGCAGUGAUGGUCUCACAGGUAUAAACGUGUGUCGAAACAUACCAAGUUGUACUUUAAACGUGUGCAGCUCAUUGCAUGUCAGUUAUACCUCAUAAGCUGUUUUUAAAAGCGGUGAUGUUUAGGGGCCAGCCUGGUGGCACAGAGGUUAAGUUUCACGCUCUACUUUGGCGGCCUGGGGUUUGCCAGUUCGGAUCUUGGGUGCGGACCUACGCACCACUUGGCGCGCCAUGCUGUGGCAGGCGUCCCACAAAUAAAGUAGAGGAAGAUGGGCAUGGAUGUUAGCUCAGGGCCAGUCUUCCUCAGCAAAAAGAGGAGGAUUGGCAGCAGAUGUUAGCUCAGGCCGCGCGGGGAUCACUGGCGCCGCAGCGGAGCCGCCCCGAGGCCUCGCCCGGGGGAGGAGCCUGCGGACGCCCCUCCACGCGGAGCGCGCCAGGU
rnacentral:lncRNA from 1 species